rnacentral:rRNA from 1 species
CGAACGAUGAACCACUUCGGUGGGGAUUAGUGGCGAACGGGUGAGUAACACGUGGGCAAUCUGCCCUUCACUCUGGGACAAGCCCUGGAAACGGGGUCUAAUACCGGAUAACACUCUUACGGGCAUCUGUGAGGGUUAAAAGCUCCGGCGGUGAAGGAUGAGCCCGCGGCCUAUCAGCUUGUUGGUGAGGUAAUGGCUCACCAAGGCGACGACGGGUAGCCGGCCUGAGAGGGCGACCGGCCACACUGGGACUGAGACACGGCCCAGACUCCUACGGGAGGCAGCAGUGGGGAAUAUUGCACAAUGGGCGAAAGCCUGAUGCAGCGACGCCGCGUGAGGGAUGACGGCCUUCGGGUUGUAAACCUCUUUCAGCAGGGAAGAAGCGAAAGUGACGGUACCUGCAGAAGAAGCGCCGGCUAACUACGUGCCAGCAGCCGCGGUAAUACGUAGGGCGCAAGCGUUGUCCGGAAUUAUUGGGCGUAAAGAGCUCGUAGGCGGCUUGUCACGUCGAUUGUGAAAGCCCGAGGCUUAACCUCGGGUCUGCAGUCGAUACGGGCUAGCUAGAGUGUGGUAGGGGAGAUCGGAAUUCCUGGUGUAGCGGUGAAAUGCGCAGAUAUCAGGAGGAACACCGGUGGCGAAGGCGGAUCUCUGGGCCAUUACUGACGCUGAGGAGCGAAAGCGUGGGGAGCGAACAGGAUUAGAUACCCUGGUAGUCCACGCCGUAAACGGUGGGAACUAGGUGUUGGCGACAUUCCACGUCGUCGGUGCCGCAGCUAACGCA